rnacentral:rRNA from 1 species
GAUGAACGCUGGCGGCGUGCCUAAUACAUGCAAGUCGAGCGAACGGACGAGAAGCUUGCUUUUUUGAUGUUAGCGGCGGACGGGUGAGUAACACGUGGAUAACCUACUUCUAAGACUGGGAUAACUUCGGGAAACCGGAGCUAAUACCGGAUAAUAUUUUGAACCGCAUGGUUCAAAGGUUAAAGACGGUCUUGCUGUCUCAUUUAGCUGGAUCGGCGCUGCAUUGGCUAGUUGGUAAGGUAACGGCUUACCAAGGCAACGAUGCGUAGCCGACCUGAGAGGGUGAUCGGCCACACUGGAACUGAGACACGGUCCAGACUCCUACGGGAGGCAGCAGUAGGGAAUCUUCCGCAAUGGGCGAAAGCCUGACGGAGCAACGCCGCGUGAGUGAUGAAGGCCUUCGGAUCGUAAAACUCUGUUAUUAGGGAAGAACAGAUGUGUAAGUAACUGUGGACAUCUUGACGGUACCUAAUCAGAAAGCCACGGCUAACUACGUG